CAGUGGGGAAUAUUGGACAAUGGGCGAAAGCCUGAUCCAGCAAUGCCGCGUGAGUGAUGAAGGCCUUAGGGUUGUAAAGCUCUUUUACCCGGGAUGAUAAUGACAGUACCGGGAGAAUAAGCUCCGGCUAACUCCGUGCCAGCAGCCGCGGUAAUACGGAGGGAGCUAGCGUUAUUCGGAAUUACUGGGCGUAAAGCGCACGUAGGCGGCUUUGUAAGUUAGAGGUGAAAGCCUGGAGCUCAACUCCAGAACUGCCUUUAAGACUGCAUCGCUUGAAUCCAGGAGAGGUGAGUGGAAUUCCGAGUGUAGAGGUGAAAUUCGUAGAUAUUCGGAAGAACACCAGUGGCGAAGGCGGCUCACUGGACUGGUAUUGACGCUGAGGUGCGAAAGCGUGGGGAGCAAACAGGAUUAGA
rnacentral:rRNA from 1 species